GGGCCACAGGAGGCAGGACUCAGGGAUGACCUCCACCAUGGCCUGGGCCCCUCUCCUCCUCACCCUCCUGGCUCACUGCACAGGAUCCUGGGCCCAGUCUGUGCUGACUCAGGCAUCCUCAGUGUCGGGGUCCCCGGGCAAGAGGGUCACCAUCUCUUGCUCUGGAAGCAGCUCCAACAUUGGGGGUAAUGGUGUAGAGUGGUACCAACAGCUCCCAGGAAAGGCCCCCAAACUCCUCAUCUAUGAUAAUAGCAAUCGACCCUCAGGGAUUCCGGACAGAUUCUCUGGCUCCAGGUCUGGCAACUCAGGUACCCUGACCAUCACGGGGCUGCAGGCUGAGGACGUGGCCGACUAUUACUGCUCAGCAUGGGACAGCAGUCUUGGUGGUGCCACAGUGCUGCAGGCCUGUGGGGAAGUGAGACAAAAACCUCUCUCAUCUGCCAGGAGGUGAGCUCUCCAGCAGCGGCUGUCCAACUAUGAAGCCGGAGGUCAUGGUUUGAUUUCUCAUCCGUGGACAUGCCUGGGUUGUGGGCUCCAUCCUCAGGUUGGGGAGGGCAGGAGGCAGCCCAUCCAUGAUUCUCUCU